ACACUUUCUUUUUCAUAGGAGAUACUCUUUAAAAAUAUAAAUGUUGUUUGAGAAGAUGAAAGAAGAAAUCAUUCUCAUUCACCAGUACCCAUGGGGGUAGUGGGGUGAGAGGGGAAAGAAUGGGAAAUUGAAAGAUGACACCCAAUCCAGUAAGGGCAAGCAGACAGCCUGUGGUUCCUAGGAAGUCUCUUUCUCUGAGCUUGCUAAGUGCUGCCUGUCUCUAAGCUCUGGGGUUCCAGAUGCUUCCCUGCAGGUCAAGGCAGGAAGACAGAGGGGCAAGCCAAGCUGUGGUAGCCAUAGGGAGGAAGAAGGUGUUGGUCCUGUGGCAGGAAGAGGAAGCCAGGGGCCCUGCUAAGAGGCUGACUCACCCCACAUCCACUCAUUUUGGGGCUGGGUCUACCACUUGUUUAUUUGAGAAUGGCAGAAGGGGGGAAAUGGGAGGACUGCCUGAGAGGUGCAGAAGAACCUGCUAUGCAGAGGUCUGAAUUGGCUGACCUCAGUCACAGAAAAAAAGCAGGUGCCCUUUUCUUCUUCCUACCCCUAACCGGAUUUUAUUUCAAUUCUCUAAUAUCAUGUGAAUCUUGAGGAAAGGUUGAAUAUAGCCUGGGAGGACUGUUGCCUAAUGCAGAGGAAAGACAGCACCAAGAGAGUUGUCAGUUGUCUCCUCCUGCUCAUCUAGUGAUUUCUAUGCCUCCUCUGUAGAGAGAGCAUAGCAAGGUGGUUAAGAGUCUGGGCUUCCAGGGUUCAAAUCCUGGUCCUGCUGCCUUCUGGCUGCUGUCUUGGGCAAGUAUAUUUAAUCUUUCUGUGCCUCAGUUGCCUUAUCUGGACAAGUGGGCUAAUAGUAUCUACCCUCACAGCAUUGUUGUGACAAAUAAAUGAUGUACUACUUGGACAGUGCCUGGAAAAAUGCCUGGCAAGUAUUAGCCAUUACAAAGGUCAACGUAAUUAUGCUGCUUUAUAGGUAAGAUGACUGAUGGCAACUCGCCAGGCACAAUCAGAGGCCGAGAAGGGGUUGGACCUCUUGUUGGUGCUGUGCCCACAAUAUUUCACAGCCUUGUUUUUAAAAGAUAAGUUGUCUCCAUGAUCACUCCUCUUUUCUAAGCAUAGCGUGGGAUUUCAAAUGAUAAAAUUUCAGCAGGCUGCCUUCUCAGGGGAUGCCAAGAAACAUGAGCUGUUAGACUUGGGUUACAGUAAAUCACCUUCCUUUAAGUUCUGGUUCUGGUUGGCCAGACAGCUGUUCCAUUUGCUAAAAAUAGAUAUGUUUGCCUUUCUGUUUGACCUGUAAAUGACAGGAUCAUCUAUGGACAAGCUCUCCAAAGAGUGCCUCUGGCUUAAUUAGUAAAAAUAAUUUUGGACUUGGGGUCCAGGGUCUUGGUCCUUGGAUCUACUGGAUCCAUUACAAGCUUCUAAACCUCAACUGAGCAUGGCUCAUGGUGACAGGACAAGUGCCUGAUGCUCUGGUAUAUAAAAUAGGAAAAAUAAUGUCUCUGCUUUAGAGUUGAGGUUAGAAGUGUGAAGUGCUUUGGGGACCCACAGGAGAGAUGCUAGAUCAGUUCCAAGUAGUCUAUCAUGCAAAAGGAUUGUCUUUCCAUGACCAAAGGGAAAAGAGAAGUCGGAGUUUAGACAGGGUUUUAAAAGUCAGCUAAAGGCUCCCACAUUGCACCUGUGGUUAACAACCACAGGCCGUGUUGCAUUCUUUACCUGGCACUUUUCGGGAUAAUACAGGAGCAUUUAAAAAAUAGAUAAGUCAAUGAAUGCACUUAGGGGGACAUCGGCUGCCGCUGCCGUCAGCUGAAAUGUUAGCUAUCUACCGUCUUAUAAAACGCCAGGAAAAACCUCUAAACCUUAGAGCCGGGGAAUUUUUUAAAAAAUCGGAACCAAAUCUCCGUGGCUUCGUGCAGCGUGAGUUCUGCAGCUCGGGGGACGCUGCAGUGUGAUGUGGUGGAGAGAGCAUGCUUCACCGCUCCUGCCAUCCUGACAGCGCCCUCCCUCCCGGCCUCAGCCUCCUGGUUCGCCAAACCGGAGGACUGAAUUUAUGGCUAGCUGGUCUCUGGGGCGCCUUCCAGCUCUGACAUUCCCGCCUAGAAUAGAUCUUCCCGAAGGUUUCGCAGACAGACCAGAGGGGACCGAGCCGGGAAGGCGAGACAGGGACAGGCGAGAGACGCUGCUCCCAACUCGCAGAGGGAGAAAGCGUGUAUCCCGGGCUGCCGGGGAGAGUGGAAAAGAAAGGACUGGACUUUGUAUGAGAUUUUGUGGAGAGGUCCUGGUUAACUUUAAAGAACUCCUUGGGUUAGUUGGCUGAGAAUCAUUGGCUUUGGUUGGCUGCUGAGACUUGUGGGAGGACCAUUUGAAAGCGCCUACUUCUCCAAGGUACAAGCAGAACCACUUGCUAUCAGGACAAGCAAGCAUGCUGUUCUCCUAGAACACGCUGCACUUGACUUGAUGAGGCAGGAAGACUGAGAUGACAGCUAUACUUGAAUUCAUGCCAUUCCCACUGGUCACCAGUGACCACACCCUCCUAGGUACCUCUUAUUCCUGCAAGUUUUGUCGAGUCAAGGUGUCAUCAGGUUUGGUUUUUGAUGGUAUAUAUCUCAGUAAUUAGUCCAUCUCUUAAAAAUACGAAGUGCUGCCUUUUGAAAUUUUUCAGUUCUGCAUAUAUGAUGUGUGCCUUUUUUGGUUUUUAGACAGAGUCUCGCACUGUCCCACAGGCUGGUGUGCAGUGGCACAAUCUCAGUUUGCUGCA
rnacentral:lncRNA from 1 species